rnacentral:rRNA from 17 species
CUGAAUAGGGCGCUUAGUCAGAUGCUGCAGACCCGAAACGAAGUGAUCUAUCCAUGAGCAAGUUGAAGCUAGUGUAAGAACUAGUGGAGGACUGAACCCAUAGGCGUUGAAAAGCCCCGGGAUGACUUGUGGAUAGGGGUGAAAGGCCAAUCAAACUUCGUGAUAGCUGGUUCUCUCCGAAAUAUAUUUAGGUAUAGCGUUGUGUCGUAAUAUAAGGGGGUAGAGCACUGAAUGGGCUAGGGCAUACACCAAUGUACCAAACCCUAUCAAACUCCGAAUACCUUAUAUGUAAUCACAGCAGUCAGGCGGCGAGUGAUAAAAUCCGUCGUCAAGAGGGAAACAACCCAGACUACCAGCUAAGGUCCCUAAAUCUUACUUAAGUGGAAAACGAUGUGAAGUUACUUAAACAACCAGGAGGUUGGCUUAGAAGCAGCCAUCCUUUAAAGAAAGCGUAAUAGCUCACUGGUCUAGUGAUUUUGCGCGGAAAAUAUAACGGGGCUAAAGUAAGUACCGAAGCUGUAGACUUGCGCACAACUUAGAUUAUUUAAGUUUAGAAUAUGAGAAACUAAGUUAUAUGUUUAGUUAUAUUUUUACUGAUUUUUAUAGAGUAAAGAUAGAAAUAAAACUUAGUAAAAUCAGUAAAAAUAUUCUUAGACUAAAGUUAAGUAGUUUAAGUUGUGUGCAAGUGGUAGGAGAGCGUUCUAUUUGCGUCGAAGGUAUACCGGUAAGGAGUGCUGGAGCGAAUAGAAGUGAGCAUGCAGGCAUGAGUAGCGAUAAUUAAUGUGAGAAUCAUUAACGCCGUAAACCCAAGGUUUCCUACGCGAUGCUCGUCAUCGUAGGGUUAGUCGGGUCCUAAGUCGAGUCCGAAAGGGGUAGACGAUGGCAAAUUGGUUAAUAUUCCAAUACCAACAUUAGUGUGCGAUGGAAGGACGCUUAGGGCUAAGGGGGCUAGCGGAUGGAAGUGCUAGUCUAAGGUCGUAGGAGGUUAUACAGGCAAAUCCGUAUAACAAUACUCCGAGAACUGAAAGGCUUUUUGAAGUCUUCGGAUGGAUAGAAGAACCCCUGAUGCCGUCGAGCCAAGAAAAGUUUCUAAGUUUAGCUAAUGUUGCCCGUACCGUAAACCGACACAGGUGGGUGGGAUGAGUAUUCUAAGGCGCGUGGAAGAACUCUCUUUAAGGAACUCUGCAAAAUAGCACCGUAUCUUCGGUAUAAGGUGUGGUUCGCUUCGUAUUAGGAUUUACUCCGAAAGCGAAGAAACUUACAACAAAGAGUCCCUCCCGACUGUUUACCAAAAACACAGCACUCUGCUAACUCGUAAGAGGAUGUAUAGGGUGUGACGCCUGCCCGGUGCUCGAAGGUUAAUUGAUGGGGUUAGCAUUAGCGAAGCUCUUGAUCGAAGCCCGAGUAAACGGCGGCCGUAACUAUAACGGUCCUAAGGUAGCGAAAUUCCUUGUCGGUUAAAUACCGACCUGCAUGAAUGGCGUAACGAGAUGGGAGCUGUCUCAAAGAGGGAUCCAGUGAAAUUGUAGUGGAGGUGAAAAUUCCUCCUACCCGCGGCAAGACGGAGAGACCCCGUGGACCUUUACUAUAGCUUGACACUGCUAUUUGGAUAAGAAUGUGCAGGAUAGGUGGGAGGCUUUGAGUAUAUGACGCCAGUUGUAUAUGAGCCAUUGUUGAGAUACCACUCUUUCUUAUUUGGGUAGCUAACCAGCUUGAGUUAUCCUCAAGUGGGACAAUGUCUGGUGGGUAGUUUGACUGGGGCGGUCGCCUCCCAAAUAAUAACGGAGGCUUACAAAGGUUGGCUCAGAACGGUUGGAAAUCGUUCGUAGAGUAUAAAGGUAUAAGCCAGCUUAACUGCAAGACAUACAAGUCAAGCAGAGACGAAAGUCGGUCUUAGUGAUCCGGUGGUUCUGUGUGGAAGGGCCAUCGCUCAAAGGAUAAAAGGUACCCCGGGGAUAACAGGCUGAUCUCCCCCAAGAGCUCACAUCGACGGGGAGGUUUGGCACCUCGAUGUCGGCUCAUCGCAUCCUGGGGCUGGAGCAGGUCCCAAGGGUAUGGCUGUUCGCCAUUUAAAGCGGUACGCGAGCUGGGUUCAGAACGUCGUGAGACAGUUCGGUCCCUAUCUGCCGUGGGCGUAAGAAGAUUGAAGAGAUUUGACCCUAGUACGAGAGGACCGGGUUGAACAAACCACUGGUGUAGCUGUUGUUCUGCCAAGAGCAUCGCAGCGUAGCUAAGUUUGGAAAGGAUAAACGCUGAAAGCAUCUAAGCGUGAAGCCAACUCUAAGAUGAAUCUUCUCUAAGCUCUCUAGAAGACUACUAGUUUGAUAGGCUGGGUGUGUAAUGGAUGAAAGUCCUUUAGCUGACCAGUACUAAUAGAGCGUUUGGCUUAUCUUUAAUAAAGCAU